GGGCUGUUAGCUCAACCGGCAGAGCAGCGGACUUUUAAUCCGCGGGUUCUGGGUUCGAAUCCCAGGCGGCCCACC
rnacentral:tRNA from 1 species